UAACACAUGCAAGUCGAACGGCAGCACAGAAGAGCUUGCUCUUUGGGUGGCGAGUGGCGGACGGGUGAGUAAUGUCUGGGAAACUGCCCGAUGGAGGGGGAUAACUACUGGAAACGGUAGCUAAUACCGCAUAACGUCGCGAGACCAAAGUGGGGGACCUUCGGGCCUCACACCAUCGGAUGUGCCCAGAUGGGAUUAGCUAGUAGGUGGGGUAAUGGCUCACCUAGGCGACGAUCCCUAGCUGGUCUGAGAGGAUGACCAGCCACACUGGAACUGAGACACGGUCCAGACUCCUACGGGAGGCAGCAGUGGGGAAUAUUGCACAAUGGGCGCAAGCCUGAUGCAGCCAUGCCGCGUGUAUGAAGAAGGCCUUCGGGUUGUAAAGUACUUUCGGCGGGG
rnacentral:rRNA from 1 species